rnacentral:sRNA from 1 species
UAUUCUGCCCUACGGGGAAGGAUGAGAAGCUUCGACUAAGGUUCGACUCGAGCGUAGCGAGAGAAC